AGCCGUGUGAUGAACACCGAAAACUAUUCUUUUGCCCUUUACUAAAUAAUACCGUGUGAUCGUCACUUAAAGUGGCAUACACCUAUUUUUGAAAGAGUCCUUGAUUAUUGGAGGGCU
rfam:Glycine soja cultivar W05 scaffold2700_5, whole genome shotgun sequence.